GUUGUAAGAAAUAGAUAGUUUGGUUUUCAUCCCCAGUUCCUGGCACAGAGCCACCCAAAACCCUUGUAAUUUCCUAAGCAACAGAGUUGCUAGGAGAAGCUUUUGUUCUUUUUGGUCUUUGACCCUGGUUCCCAGUACAGAGCUCGUAAUGCCUUGGAACUUCAUAGGUGAUAAGAGUGUCUUCUGUUCUAAUGAGACAAUUAUUACUAGGCUCUAGGAUGGGGGGUGAUCACCUGAAAGACCAUGACUUGAUCAGAAGCUUGGAACGUACAGUCCCACCCCCUAUCCUUUGGGAAAGGGACAGAGGCUGGAGAUCGAGUUAAUAACAAUUAUGCCUACUUGAUGAACACCACAUAAAAAUCCCUGAAUGAUGGGAUUCCUAGAGCUUCUGGGUGGGUGAAGAACACAUCCAUAUGCUGAAACAAUGGUACCCCCCAACUGCUUGGAGACAGACCUCCUAAACCUAAGAUGCUUCCAAAACUUGCUGUAUGUAACUCUUUAGCUGGCUGUUCAUAUGUAAUAUUUAAAAUGUCCUUUGUAAUAAAUCAGCUAAGUAAACUGUUUUCCUGGGUUCUGUGAGCUGCUAAACCCUAGUGAAUCUAACAUAAAAAGGAGUUCUUGCCGGGCAUGGUGGCUCACGCCUGUAAUCCCAGCACUUUGGGAGGCCAAGGCAGGAGGAUCACCUGAGGUCAGAAGUUCAAAACCAGCCUGGCCAACUUGGUGAAACCCCAAAACCCCGUUUCUACUAAAAAUACAAAAAUUAGCUGGGCAUGGUGGCAGGCACCUGUAAUCUCAGCUAUUCGGGAGGCUGAGGUAUGAGAAUCGCUUGAACCUGGGAGGUGGAGGUUGCAGUGAGCGGAGAUCGAACCACUGCACUCCAGCCUGGGUGACAGAGUAAGACUCUGCAUUGGCAGUGGGGGCGGGGAGGAGUUCUUAGGACCCUCCAAUUUUUAGCAAAGACAGACAGUUUCUUCACUUUUAAAAAAUUCUUUUUCUACUUGCUCUUCUGAUUGAAUAAUUUCAAAUAACCUGUCUUUGAGUUCACUGGUUCUUUCUUCUGCUUGAUCAAGUCAGCUCUUGAAGCCUUGUAUUGAUCCAGUUCAGUUACUGUAUUCUUCAGCCCCAGAAUCUAUAUUUGAUUCUUUUAUUAUGGUUUUUCUUUGUUGAUAUUCUCAUGUUGUUCAUGUAUCCUUUUCCAGAUUUUACUUGUUAUCAGUGUUGUCUCAUAGCUCAUUGACCUCCUUUAAGGCAAUUACCUGUAAUUCUUAUCAGGAAAAUCAGAAACCUCCAUUUCUUUUUCUUUUUUUUAAAGCGGAGUUUCACUCGCGUUGCCCAGGCUGUAGUGCAACGGCACGAUACCAGCUCACUGCAACCUCCACCUCCUGGAUUCAAGUGAUUCUCCUGCCUCAGCCUCCUGAGUAGCUGGGAUUAUAGGUGCCCGUCACCACGACCAGCUAAUUUUUUUUUUUUUUUUUUUUUUUUUUUUUGUAUUUCACCAUGUUGGCAAAGCUGAUUUUGAACUCCUGGCCUCAAAUGAUCUGCCUACCUCGGCCUCUCAAAGUGCUGUGAUUACAAGUGUGAGCCACCGCACCCAGCCAGAAACCUGUAUUUCUUUAUGGUCAAUUAUUGGAGAUUUAUUUUGUUCAUUCAGUAGGGUCACAUCUUGAUUUUUCAAGGUUGUGCAAUAUCUCCCAGUCUCACAGAGCUGUGCCAGUUGCUAUACGAUGCCCUGUAUUUUUCCUUAGAGCUGUGCUCUGAUAGCCUGGGACACGAAAUGCAUAUUUCAUUACUCUCCUUUCCUCCACUAGUCUCACGUAUUCUCCUUGGGGAGAAGUCUAAGGGGUCUGUGCUUUCUACCAGUCUCACAGAACCAUGGGGGCCACCAUAAACCUCCACACAAGCCUCCUAAAAAUUCUCUACCUUGGCUCAAGAGUAUGGGAGUCACGCUGCAGACAAUGGAGGUAUAAGAAAGACAUCCAAGGCCCCUGUGAGCUUCUCAAUCUCCACAGGCAUCACUAAAGCUUCUUUCUUAGGGAAGAUCCUUCUUGAGAAGCCCCUGCUGAGUAUUAGGAAAAUGCAUUUCAGGACCUCUCAUCAACACACCCUCUUUCUUUACCACAACCACAUAUAUGGGGGCAUAACUCAACAUGUGUAAAAGACAAUCUUCUGCUUUUCACUGAACCUCCAGGAAUUCAGGACAAUAAACCUCUACAUGCAGACCAACAGGUGAGUUUUUCUGCCCCUUCUUUCAUAACACCGUUCUUCCCUAGUGAAGUCCACACACAUCCUUACAUGGCAGCUGUGGGUAUAUCAACUGGUCUGACCCCUUUUAGUCACAGAGCCUGAAGUCUGCUAGUACCUGCUGAGCACAGUGUCAUGGGUGAGAAUGGGCAAGGCUUUUUCUUUCUCUGGUUCCUGAACUUCCCAGGCUCUCUCACUUCUGGAUCCUGAAUACCCAAAUCCCAAGCUUCCUUCCCAGAACCAACACCUCCUCCUCAUUAGAAAGAUACCUUUGUUGUGUGCUUACUUUAUAAAGUCUUGCUCUUUCCCUGUCCACUGCCUUGUGUCACUAUGUGUGUGUCUUGGGGCCGGUGGAAAGGUGAACAGAAGCCAGUAGAGAGUAACAAGCACCAGCUUCACAGGAAUGGCAUGACCUUAAUACGAUAGUGGCAGUUUUCCCUUAACAUCCCUGCCCCCUAAAGAUUUCAGAUCAUAUGUCACACUCUUAAGUAACAGCGAUUUGUCUUUCACGGUUUUAAUCAUAUUGAUUAAAAGCAUUUGUCUUCUCCAGAACAUCACAUUAAGUCAUCAAAAAAUAUAAACCUUAAAAAGAUGUAAUUAUUGGAACUGAAAAACAUAAAAGGUGAGCUUUGGAAAUAUCUUUGAGCAGUCUAUUCAUUAUGAACACAUGUAAUCUGUUGGAACAAAGUUCU
rnacentral:lncRNA from 10 species